AUACGGAGGAUCCGAGCGUUAUCCGGAUUUAUUGGGUUUAAAGGGUGCGCAGGCGGCCAUUUAAGUCAGCGGUUAAAUCGUGGGGCUCAACCCCAUUCUGCCGUUGAUACUGGGUGGCUUGAUUGCGGUCGAGGUUGGCGGAAUUCGUUGUGUAGCGGUGAAAUGCAUAGAUAUGACGAAGAACACCGAUUGCGUAGGCAGCCGACCAGACCGCAAAUGACGCUCAUGCACGAAAGUGCGGGGAUCGAACAGGAUUAGAUACCCUGGUAGUCCGCACAGUAAACGAUGAAUACUUGUUUUCGGCGAUAUAAUGUCGGAGGCAAAGCGAAAGCGAUAAGUAUUCCACCUGGGGAGUACGCCGGCAACGGUGAAACUUAAAUGAAUUGACGGGG
rnacentral:rRNA from 1 species